rnacentral:misc_RNA from 1 species
GGAUUCUCUAACUUCCUCGUAUUUAAACUGAGAAGCUAGCAUAAGGGAUGCCUCUAAUUUCUCAGCUUCAGAAUGAGAAGCUGGUAAAUGGUUUUUUCUUACUUCCUCAGAUUUAGAUUUAGAAGCUGGCUUAUGGGAUGCUUCUAAGUCCUCAACUUCAUAUUGAGAAGCUGGCAAAGCAGAUGAAUUUGUUUCCUCAACUUUCGAAUGAGCUAGAGGCAUGGGGCGCAUUGCUUCCUCUGUUUUAAAACGAGAAGCUGUCAAAGGUGAUGUUUCUGGUUCUUCUUCAAAUUUUGUGGAAAAGGUUUCUAGUUCCUCAUCUUUACAACAAGAAGGUGGCAAAGGGGAUACAUCUGUUUCCUCAGUUUUAGAAUGAGACACCACAUCCAGCUUAUGGACAUCAUCUAUGUUCAACCCUUCUCUUUUCUCAAACCUCUCAACCAAACUGCGCGUCCUUCCUCGCACUACCGCCACUCCAUUCACAAAUCUAACUGGAUGCAACUCUUUCCUACCUUCUGAACCCACAUUACGGUUCUCCCGACUAUUCAGCGGUGGUUG